rnacentral:sRNA from 1 species
GUCAGCACAAUCCGGAACCUCCAACCCACAUGUGAUCGACUGAGGGGUGUUGAUGUCGGGGGAGACCCUCCCGUGAACCAACGGGAUAGAGUGAAAGACAAAGACCGGGAAACACGAAAGCGCCCUCUGUGGCGCUUUCGUUUU